rnacentral:lncRNA from 1 species
UCCUAAUCUGGAAUGCCAAAGAUAAAACUGAGAAGACAAAGGACUCAAACGAAAAGAAGAUAAAUCUAUGCUAGAGGCAGCAACUACAGACACUUUGAGAUUCUCCAAGACAUAGAGUUCCCCCAACCUACGGCCGGUCCCAAUCACCCUCUGAGUGUGUUGGUCCUGUAUAACACAAACAGAAUCAGAAAAAAACACCCAAUUACCAGCCUUACACAACUGACUGACCGAAACAAGAUUUAAAGCAAGUUUGGGAAUGUAAUAAACAUCAGAGAGGACAAUGUGAGGGGUAGUAACAGAACCAACACCCUCGACUGACAUAGGGACAGCACUCGCGGACAUAACAGAGAUUGGUGAAAUGGGUGACAAAGAACCAAACGAUGACAAAUGAGGGGACAUGUGAUGAGACGCACCAGAAUCCAAUAUCCACAAGGAGGAAGGAAUACCUGAGGUACUAGAAGAAACUGAACCCGAAUGAGACAUAGAUGCUGACAUGGCCGUAGGAUUAGAAACGAAGAACUGUCUGAACUGUUCGAAAACCUGGGGAUCCAACGCAGAAGGUGGCAUAGUGCUAACAGACUCAACAUCUACAGAUGGUGCAGCAGCAGCGAACUGUGGAGGACGAGAUGACCACGGAGGAGCACCAGAGGAGCGUGACGGAGACUUUUGCUGCCCAUAUUUCUGUUGCUGCCCAGAUUGAGGCUGUUUGACCUUGUUAAGUAACAACGGACACUGAGCCUUCCAAUGAUUUUUCUG